rnacentral:rRNA from 1 species
UACGGAGGGGGCUAGCGUUGUUCGGAAUUACUGGGCGUAAAGCGCACGUAGGCGGACCAUCAAGUUGGGGGUGAAAUCCCGGGGCUCAACCCCGGAACUGCCUUCAAAACUGUUGGUCUGGAGGUCGAGAGAGGUGAGUGGAAUUCCGAGUGUAGAGGUGAAAUUCGUAGAUAUUCGGAGGAACACCAGUGGCGAAGGCGGCUCACUGGCUCGAUAUUGACGCUGAGGUGCGAAAGCGUGGGGAGCAAACAGG